CAGCACCUGGAUGCCACCUGUCCACUGAAGAGAUAAGAGUUUAUGAGCCGUCCCAGAUGUGCAGUGGACAGGUUACUGUUCCACAGCUCUAUAAAAGUGCUCCGAAAUGAUGCACACUUAAUACACCACAAGCUUCUGAAGGCAGAUCUGUAAUCAGAAUGAUGAAGAUAACUGUCCUACUGAUGCUGGCUGUGGCAGGUUUUACUGCCACACCAGGGUUAGCUCAGAUCCAAAUGGAGAAGGAUGCUGGACUCGAUGUAAGUGCUCUGGAUACUGCUUUAGGGGACUUGGAGGACUCUGAUUCCACAAGUGGUGAGACUUAUUUAAUGAUUUAAUAUCCAUUCCUAAUGCAGGUGCU